UACGAAGGGGGCUAGCGUUGCUCGGAAUCACUGGGCGUAAAGCGCACGUAGGCGGAUUGGUCAGUUAGGGGUGAAAUCCUGGAGCUCAACUCCAGAACUGCCUUUAAUACUGCCAGUCUCGGCGAAGUCGGAUAAGGUAGGACGUACCUCAGUGGUAGAGGUGGAAUUCGUAGAUAUUAGGAAGAACACCAGUGGCGAAGGCGGCUUACUGGUCCGGUACUGACGCUGAGGUGCGAAAGCGUGGGGAGCAAACAGG
rnacentral:rRNA from 1 species